GAUGAACGCUGGCGGCGUGCCUAAUACAUGCCAGUCGAGCGAACAGACGAGGAGCUUGCUCCUCUGACGUUAGCGGCGGACGGGUGAGUAACACGUGGAUAACCUACCUAUAAGACUGGGAUAACUUCGGGAAACCGGAGCUAAUACCGGAUAAUAUAUUGAACCGCAUGGUUCAAUAGUGAAAGACGGUUUUGCUGUCACUUAUAGAUGGAUCCGCGCCGCAUUAGCUAGUUGGUAAGGUAACGGCUUACCAAGGCAACGAUGCGUAGCCGACCUGAGAGGGUGAUCGGCCACACUGGAACUGAGACACGGUCCAGACUCCUACGGGAGGCAGCAGUAGGGAAUCUUCCGCAAUGGGCGAAAGCCUGACGGAGCAACGCCGCGUGAGUGAUGAAGGUCUUCGGAUCGUAAAACUCUGUUAUUAGGGAAGAACAAAUGUGUAAGUAACUAUGCACGUCUUGACGGUACCUAAUCAGAAAGCCACGGCUAACUAUGUG
rnacentral:rRNA from 1 species